AUUGAACGCUGGCGGCAGGCCUAACACAUGCAAGUCGAGCGGAUGAAGAGAGCUUGCUCUCUGAUUUAGCGGCGGACGGGUGAGUAAUGCCUAGGAAUCUGCCUGGUAGUGGGGGAUAACGUUCCGAAAGGAACGCUAAUACCGCAUACGUCCUACGGGAGAAAGCAGGGGACCUUCGGGCCUUGCGCUAUCAGAUGAGCCUAGGUCGGAUUAGCUAGUUGGUGAGGUAAUGGCUCACCAAGGCUACGAUCCGUAACUGGUCUGAGAGGAUGAUCAGUCACACUGGAACUGAGACACGGUCCAGACUCCUACGGGAGGCAGCAGUGGGGAAUAUUGGACAAUGGGCGAAGGCCUGAUCCAGCCAUGCCGCGUGUGUGAAGAAGGUCUUCGGAUUGUAAAGCACUUUAAGUUGGGAGGAAGGGCAGUAAGUUAAUACCUUGCUGUUUUGACGUUACCGACAGAAUAAGCACCGGCUAACUUCGUGCCAGCAGCCGCCGUAAAAC
rnacentral:rRNA from 1 species